rnacentral:rRNA from 1 species
AUGAGCUCCAUGAAGAUCGAGUAUGAAACUCCAAAGCCACUAAAAGGUAUCUUUGUUCCCGCUUCGGUGGAACUUUGGGAUUACCAACCGACGCUCAUAUCUCCGGCGAGCAUCUUCCGCGGCGCUAAGUUCCCCGGCCGUCGUGAAAGCUUUACGCUCGACAAUGAGUUGGAAGAGGUGCUGCUCGAGGUGACGCGGAAGGUGAUUGUAGAUCAGGCAAUGCAAUUGCUUUCCAUGGCGGGAGCUCCCCUGCCCGCCGAAGUGACGCACACUGACGCGGGCAGACACCAAGCAGACCAAGAGGAGAAGACAGACGCAAAGGACACAAAAUGA